rnacentral:rRNA from 1 species
AAUCAACGCUGGCGGCGUGCCUAACACAUGCAAGUCGAACGAGAAAGUGGAGCAAUCCAUGAGUACAGUGGCGACCGGGUGAGUAACACGUGAUCAAUCUACCUUCGAGUGGGGGAUAACUCCGGGAAACCGGGGCUAAUACCGCAUAACAUCUUUGGAUCGGAAGAACUGGAGAUCAAAGGAGCAAUUCGCUUGAAGAGGAGGUCGCGGCUGAUUAGCUAGUUGGCGGGGUAAUGGCCCACCAAGGCGAAGAUCGGUAGCCGGCCUGAGAGGGCGC